rnacentral:rRNA from 1 species
GACGAACGCUGGCGGCGUGCCUAAUACAUGCAAGUCGAGCGAAGUUUUUCUGGUGCUUGCACCGGAAAAACUUAGCGGCGACCGGGUGAGUAACACGUAAAGAACCUGCCUCAUAGACUGGGACAACUAUUGGAAACGAUAGCUAAUACCGGAUAAUAGCAUUAACUGCAUGGUUGAUGUUUAAAAGUUGGUUUUGCUAACACUAUGAGAUGGCUUUGCGGUGCAUUAGCUAGUUGGUGGGGUAAAGGCCUACCAAGGCGACGAUGCAUAGCCGACCUGAGAGGGUGAUCGGCCACACUGGGACUGAGACACGGCCCAGACUCCUACGGGAGGCAGCAGUAGGGAAUCUUCCGCAAUGGGCGAAAGCCUGACGGAGCAACGCCGCGUGAGUGAAGAAGGAUUUCGGUUCGUAAAGCUCUGUUGUUAGGGAAGAAUGAUUGUGUAGUAACUAUACACAGUAGAGACGGUACCUAACCAGAAAGCCACGGCUAACUACGUG